CCUACGGGAGGCAGCAGUGGGGAAUAUUGGGCAAUGGAGGAAACUCUGACCCAGCGACGCCGCGUGAGGGAUGAAGGUCUUCGGGUUGUAAACCUCUUUCAGUAGGGAAGAAGCGAAAGUGACGGUACCUACAGAAGAAGCACCGGCUAACUAUGUGCCAGCAGCCGCGGUAAUACAUAGGGUGCAAGCGUUGUCCGGAAUUAUUGGGCGUAAAGAGCUCGUAGGUGGUUCGAUACGUCGGAUGUGAAAAUCAGGGGCUCAACCCCUGACCUGCAUCCGAUACGGUCGAGCUAGAGUUUGGUAGGGGAGACUGGAAUUCCUGGUGUAGCGGUGGAAUGCGCAGAUAUCAGGAGGAACACCGAUGGCGAAGGCAGGUCUCUGGGCCAAUACUGACACUGAGGAGCGAAAGCGUGGGGAGCGAACAGGAUUAGAUACCCUGGUAGUCCACGCCGUAAACGGUGGGCGCUAGUUGUGCGAACCUUCCACGGUUUGUGCGACGCAGCUACGACAUAGCGCCCGCCGCGGGAGGUACGACGUCGCGAGAAGUUAAACGUUAAAAGGUAAAGUUAGUUACGGCGUGAGACGUGCCGACGGACGACGACGAGGGAGGAGG
rnacentral:rRNA from 1 species